AGCAAAUGCUGGCGGCGUGCCUAAUACAUGCAAGUCGAACGGGGAAAGCUUUCGGGUGAGUACUAGUGGCGCACGGGUGAGUAACGCGUGGAUAAUCUGCCUUAGAGUGGGGGAUAACAAGUCGAAAGAUUAGCUAAUACCGCAUAAGACCACAAGAACUGCGGUUCAAGGGGUCAAAGGUUUUUCGCUCUAAGAUGAGUCCGCGUAAGAUUAGCUAGUUGGUAGGGUAACGGCCUACCAAGGCGACGAUCUUUAACUGGUCUGAGAGGAUGAUCAGUCACACUGGAACUGAGACACGGUCCAGACUCCUACGGGAGGCAGCAGUAGGGAAUAUUGCACAAUGGAGGAAACUCUGAUGCAGCGACGCCGCGUGAGUGAUGAAGGCCUUCGGGUCGUAAAGCUCUGUCGCAGGGGAAUAACACAAUGAAGGUACCCUGUAAGAAAGGAUCGGCUAACUUCGUGCCAGCCGCCGCGGUAAAAC
rnacentral:rRNA from 1 species